rnacentral:rRNA from 1 species
UACGUAGGGUCCAAGCAUUAUCCGGAAUUACUGGGCGUAAAGAGUACGUAGGUGUUCCAUUAAGUCGGUCGUUAAAUCUCACCGCUCAACGGUGAGGCUGCGAGCGAUACUAAUGGAAUUGAGUGUCACAGGGGCAAGCAGAAUUCUUGGAGUAGGGGUGAAAUCCGUUGAUACCAAGAGGAAUACCAAUGGCGAAGGCAGCUUGCUAGGUGAACACUGACACUGAGGUACGAAAGCGUGGGGAGCAAACGGG